CCAAUAGCGUAUAUUAAAGUUGUUGCAGUUAAAAAGCUCGUAGUUGAAUUUCGGGAUCAAUUUAUUGGUCGUGCUAUUGUACGUACUGGUUUUAUUGAUUUCUACCUUCUGACGAACCAUGAUGUCAUUAAUUUGGUGUUAUGGGGAAUCAGGACUGUUACUUUGAAAAAAUUAGAGUGUUUAAAGCAGGCUCACGCUUGAAUACAUUAGCAUGGAAUAAUGAAAUAGGACGUUUGAUUCUAUUUUGUUGGUUUCUAGGAUCGACGUAAUGAUUAAUAGGGAUAGUUGGGGGCAUUAGUAUUCAAUUGUCAGAGGUGAAAUUCUUGGAUUUAUUGAAGACUAACUACUGCGAAAGCAUUUGCCAAGGAUGUUUUCAUUAAUCAAGAACGAAAGUUAGGGGAUCGAAGACGAUCAGAUACCGUCGUAGUCUUAACCAUAAACUAUGCCGACUAGGGAUCGGAUGAUGUUAAUUUUUUAAUGACUCAUUCGGCGCCUUACA
rnacentral:rRNA from 1 species